rnacentral:rRNA from 1 species
GACGAACGCUGGCGGCGUGCCUAAUACAUGCAGGUCGAACGAGUGGCGGACGGGUGAGUAACACGUGGGAACCUACCCAUCAGAGGGGGAUAACUGCUGGAAACAGUAGCUAAUAGCGUAUACCAUCAAUUGUGCCCCGAUGGGAUGAGCUAGUAGGUGGGGUAAUGGCCCCCAUAGGCGACGAUCCCUAGCGGGUCUGAGAGGAUGACCAGCCACACUGGAACUGAGACACGGUCCAGACUCCUACGGGAGGCAGCAGUGGGGAAUAUUGCACAAUGGGCGCAAGCCUGAUGCAGCCAUGCCGCGUGUGUGAAGAAGGCCUUCGGGUUGUAAAGCACUUUCAUCGAGGAGGCGUUACUCGCAGAAGAAGCACCGGCUAACUCCGUGCCAGCAGCCGCGGUAAUUC